rnacentral:rRNA from 1 species
CCUACGGGUGACAGCAGUCGAGAAUCAUUCACAAUGGGGGAAACCCUGAUGGUGCGACGCCGCGUGGGGGAAUGAAGGUCUUCGGAUUGUAAACCCCUGUCAUGUGGGAGCAAAUUAAAAAGAUAGUACCACAAGAGGAAGAGACGGCUAACUCUGUGCCAGCAGCCGCGGUAAUACAGAGGUCUCAAGCGUUGUUCGGAAUCACUGGGCGUAAAGGGGGCGUAGGCUGUUUCGUAAGUCGGGUGUGAAAGGCGCGGGCUCAACCCGCGGACGGCACAUGAUACUGCGAGACUAGAGUAAUGGAGGGGGAACCGGAAUUCUCGGUGUAGCAGUGAAAUGCGUAGAUAUCGAGAGGAACACUCGUGGCGAAGGCGGGUUCCUGGACAUUAACUGACGCUGAGGCACGAAGGCCAGGGGAGCGAAAGGGAUUAGAUACCCGGGUAGUC